CCUAUGCGACGCGGAGGAUCUUACGAG
rnacentral:rRNA from 1 species